CCUACGGGAGGCAGCAGUGAGGAAUAUUGGUCAAUGGGCGCGAGCCUGAACCAGCCAAGUCGCGUGAGGGAAGACGGUCCUAUGGAUUGUAAACCUCUUUUGUCGGGGAGCAAAAGACGCCACGCGUGGCGUUCCGAGAGUACCCGAAGAAAAAGCAUCGGCUAACUCCGUGCCAGCAGCCGCGGUAAUACGGAGGAUGCGAGCGUUAUCCGGAUUUAUUGGGUUUAAAGGGUGCGCAGGCGGAAGAUCAAGUCAGUGGUAAAAUUGAGAGGCUCAACCUCUUCGAGCCGUUGAAACUGGUGUUCUUGAGUGAGCGAGAAGUAUGCGGAAUGCGUGGUGUAGCGGUGAAAUGCAUAGAUAUCACGCAGAACUCCGAUUGCGAAGGCAGCAUACCGGCGCUCAACUGACGCUCAUGCACGAAAGUGUGGGUAUCGAACAGGAUUAGAUACCCGAGUAGUC
rnacentral:rRNA from 1 species